UUGCUAUCCAGUGGUUUUGUGCCCCUUUC
rnacentral:sRNA from 1 species